GAACGAGACCUUCGGGUUUAGUGGCGCACGGGUGAGUAACGCGUGGGAAUCUGCCCUGUGGUACGGAAUAACAUCGGGAAACUGGUGCUAAUACCGUAUAUCCCCUGAGGGGGAAAGAUUUAUCGCCAUAGGAGGAGCCCGCGUAGGAUUAGCUAGUUGGUGGGGUAACGGCUCACCAAGGCGACGAUCAGUAGCUGGUCUGAGAGGAUGAUCAGCCUCACUGGGACUGAGACACGGCCCAGACUCCUACGGGAGGCAGCAGUGGGGAAUAUUGGACAAUGGGCGCAAGCCUGAUCCAGCCAUGCCGCGUGGGUGAUGAAGGCCUUAGGGUUGUAAAGCCCUUUCGGCGGGGAAGAUAAUGACGGUACCCGCAGAAGAAGCCCCGGCUAACUUCGUG
rnacentral:rRNA from 1 species